AUGGAGUCCCCCUUCCAUCUUUCCCGUCUUCCAUCAAAGUCUUUGGUAGUUGCACUGAAAUGCAUGGAUAUUAUCGAAAUCACAGCAUUCUCAUUCUGCUCCAGCGCGACGAAAAAGUCUGUAAAAUCCUUGAAUCUGCGCUACACAUACGUAAUGUUCUGAACCAAACUGAAGUCCGUGUUUGGGAUGAUACCAGAAACACUAGUUUCAAUGUAAAAGAAAUUAAAAAUUUGCUUGAUGGAAUUCCAAUUGUUCGAAUGACAUGCCAUCAAUACAGAAAACCGAAUGAUGUGCUCCGAUAUGGGUCGGCUCACACAGAGCAGCUUUGGAUCACUAUGCCUCUCUCAAAUUGGUCUUUCCAUCAAAUUUCAUAUCAACAGUUUCAAAAACUUUAUAUAGGAACUUCGAUUCUUAACCUGAACGAGCUCUUGAACUUGGACAGUCAUAUCAUUUGGCUCGGAUCUUCCAUCUUUGGUGGAAAAGAGUUGAACUUGUUCAUAAAACAUUGGAUGAUGGGUCUUACCAGUCAAAAUGUUAAAUAUAUAUUCACAUUUCUAAGCAACGGAAUCACUGAUGAGAAAGCUCUAUGGAACGGAAUUGAAUAUCAGAAACAGCCAGAGUCCACUAAGAGAACCUUCAAGUACACCGACCCUGGUUAUACAGUUCCGCAGAAAGAGAUAGUUCACGGUGGCUACGAUAUUCAGAGUGUCAAUGGAGCUCGAGCGACAGUGAAAAUUUUCAAAGGGAAUUAUUUAAAUAUCAAAUUUAUGGUUUGGAAUGAUUAA